CCACAGCCCUCUUCCUUUCUUGCUGCAGAUGAUUCUCUCCUGAGCUGUGCUGCGGUGGACUGUUCUGGGAGCCAGUGCGGCAGUGUGCACACAGUAGGCACUCAACGUUGUGCCGUGACUGCUUGGAUGAAUGGCGGUAUAACUCCACAGCCCUCACAGAAAAAGAGGGAGGCCGUCACUGACACGUUAACCAGUGAUGCCUGCUCUGUGCUAAGAAGGGAAGAGAGCAUCACUGUCUUAUUGAUGCCCGACUUGUGCACAGAAUGGAGGGAACCAUUGGCUGGCAGAUUGAUUGCUAAUGCCUGUCCUGUACAAAGCAUGGAAGGAAUCAUUCAUUCAUCAAUUGAUUGGUGAUGUCUGCACGGGAAGAAGCAGUAUAGUUUUAUCUACUUACCAUCCUCACAAAAGCAUUCCAGACAUUUCUGAAAAUUAGAGGUACAGUCCUAAACAAGAACUCUGAGGGGAAGACUCCAAGUUAGCAGUCAGUGGUGGAACCCUUCCUGGCU